AAAGUUGUUCCCGUUCUUACUCAAGCAAGCAGGUGGAAAUUGAACUUUGGCGUAAUUAUUUGUAAUCCGGGCUUAAUAACCAUUCAUUUAUAAAUUAUAAAGUAACAGUCUCUUCUUGUUGGGAAAGAUGAUUCCUUGUUUAAUUGUUUAUGAAUAGGAAGUGCUCUGUAGAAUGAUAAAGUGGUGUAAAUACUGAAAGAAUUCGGUUUCUCACAAGAUUUGGUUAGGAGCUUUGUGCUCUUUUUACCGAACGUCGUUAUUUAUUCUUGAUCAUCGUUGGAUAUUAUCUAGAAAGAAGAAAUGCCUCUUCUCAACAAGAAGAACUUUGUGAUCAACGAUCCACCUCCCAAUUUAAAAGAUGAUGAAGAAGUUUUCUAUUCUGAAUUGACAAACGAGAUUUUCAGGGAUUAUGAGGAGUUUUGCGAAAGAAUCUUUCUUUGCAACUCUCUGGUGUGGUCAUGCAGUUACACUGGAAGGUCAAGCCUGACUUAUCAGGAGGCUAUCGACUCAGAACUUGUAGCCAAGAAGAUGCUCAAUGAGUUUCCUCUCAAGUUGAGAAUUCCAGUUUUAUACCUGACAACUCUAACCGAGAGAUCAUCCCUGCUGGAAUUUGCUGAAGAUGUUUUCGCAUUCGCCAGAGACCGAUACUUUAUCGGUGAGGAGGUGGAAGUGUGCUUCUCAAAUGACACUUGGUCCGACUGCCGUAUAGUGAAAGUGCAGUACCCGUCGCAGAAGCGACUGCAGGAACACAACCAGCUGAGCCAGAAGACGGCCACUAAGAGUGGUGAACGCGACUACUGGCCGCCGGCCGCACUCUACAGCUACGAGGUGGAGCCUGUGGCGGCGACUGGCGACGGGACGCGCCACUGUGUGGCCGCCGACAAAGUGCGCCGACGCAAGAACGUCUACACGCGCGAGAAGAAUCGGCUCUACAUCAAGCAGUUUGUCGAGCGGCAGGCUAGCGUCUGGAAGCUCAAGAAAUCAGUCUACCACAAGUACGGCAUCGACAAGGUGAAGUUCGACAUGAUUUUCUGCGGACCAGCAAUGGCAUCGUUGGCUCCAACAAAGAAGAAGCCGGCCAUCAAGAAACCUGCCGUCAAGGAGGCCGUCAAAAAAGACGUCAAAAAACAGAAGGUGCAAGGCUCCAUCGACAAAUACUUUGCCAAGCAGAAGUCCGGAGAUAAACAGGAGAACGGUGGUGCCGGAGAUAACGCCAAGAAAGCUACGCCUCGCAAACCGGCCGAAACGCCGCAGAAAACCCUAGUGCAAAAGUUGAAGAACAAGUACAAGAUGAACAACAAGAACGCCAAACUGCUGAAAACUGUCAAAGAGAACAAAACGGAGAAGGUGCCUAGGGAACGGAAGAAAAAGGAAAAAGCAGUUCGAAAGGCAUUGAGUAAAGAAGAAUUGCAGAAGAUUGCUGUCGAAUGCAAGGACAAGGAUGUAAAAGAGAAAUUUGCUCUCUUUAAGAAGAACAAUCUGACUAAAGAAGAAAAGGUCCAAGUGUUGGAAUUUGUCAAAGAGUACACAAAGUUUAGAGAGGAUCUUGAGUGCUCAUCGCUGAAGGAAUUACCAGCCCCUCUUCCAGUUCAAAUGAGAAUACCCAACGAGCUUUUCGGCGAUUUUCUUCAUAUGCUGGAGUUUUUCAAUUCGUUCAGUAACGUUGUCAACGUGAGAGAUUUCUUCUUAAACGGAAUCACGUUUGAGCUGCUGGAACGCGCACUUGUCGAAAAAGAGGUCGCAGGUCCACUCAGUGAUGUAAUCCACGUUCUUCUUUCAACGUUGUUCGAACUUCAAGACCAAGAUGAGGAAUAUGAUGAUAAACUCAGUCUGGAUAGUGGUAGCGAACCGACGCCGGUGCAACAGAGUGAUAAGAAAGCAGACGACGCCCUGAUCAACUAUCGCCUGGCUGUUGCGGCAGCUGCCUACAGUCAACAGUACCACGGCCACCCAAUCAGUGAGCUCACUCUCGACUCGGCCUCGCUCACCGAAGUGCUCAGGUUGCACAUCAUCUCAUCGGGCCGACGGCUCAUUGAUGACAGUGACCAGUCAAGGAGGAUUCCCUCUUUGAAUAUUGAAGAUCCUUGUUCGGAAUUGUGCUUGAGACAUCCUCAAUUGUUGAACGCGCUCAGUCAGAAGAGCAUUUUUGAAUUACCAAUUGAGGACAAAGUUCUAAUAAUCAAUUCAUUGAUAAAUCAGAUUCUCAGCUUUGCAUCCACUAAAGAAUCGAUUGAAGAAGAAUUAGUAAAUCUGAGAUUGGCACGAGUUGACUGGAGAUCCAAGCGAGCUGCUGAAGUGAAGCGCAUCAAAGAAGCAGAGAAAGAGUUGAAAGAACAACAGAAAGCCGCUUCUGGCGAGAACAAGGACAAAAGUAAGAGCGACAAGGAGGCAACUGAGAAGAAAGAGAAGGAGGAGGCGACUGGCGGUGAUGGAGAGGGGGGUGAGGGGGAGGUGCCGAAGACACGCAUGCGCAUGGGCAAGAACCUUGUGUUGAAAGCGCGCGAAUUGGCUCAGCUGGAGUUGCGCGUGCAAUGCCUGCCGCUGGGCGUGGAUCGGGCAUUCCGUCGCUACUGGCUCUUCUACUCGACGCCCGGCCUCUAUGUCGAGCACAACGAGCCCAAUCCUGGCGUCUGUGUGCCCAGAGAUAUAAUCGACAGCCUAUCGGCCGAUUCGCCCGUGAAGUACGUGCGACGUCUGUUCGAUGAGGGCAGCGACAAGGAGAACGUGGGCAAAGCAACGGCGACAGCGACAUCCCGCGGUAGCAUCAGCGCGCCAAGUCCCAGCAAGAAGCCGCUGCUGGCCGAGAAGAACGGUGACGCUGUGUCAUCGUCGCCGGCCCGCGUCAAGGUGGAGGCCGGCGCCGAAGAGACGGCGUCAAAGUGGAACCUGAUGUGCACCGGUGACGCGGCGCUGUGUCCCGUGCACGCUCGUGGUCCCACCACGACAUGGUCCUUCUACAGGGACGAGGCCGACCUGAAUGCGCUCAUUGAUAGUCUCAACAAGUACGGUGUGCGGGAGUCACAGCUGCGCAAAGAGCUAAUAAAGAAUAAGCCGCGCAUUCUUGAUAGUGUCAAGCGGUGUCCGCACGCUAAACUCAAUCCCACUGUGCCUGAGGAUCCUGACCAACUUGAAAUAAAAAAAUCUGUAAAAACCAAGUAUUUGAAUGCACAUUUGGAUUUCCCGCCCGAUACCCCUCUUGAUGAGAUACUCAUUUCCAGCUUAAGAUUCAUGAUACUAGAAACUGAAGAUAAAAUUGACGCUGGACAUAUAGGAACACUCAAGGUAAAAGACAGGCACGCAUGGAGAGAAGCUUUAAAUAAUAAAUCCUAUGAUAAGCAGUGUGACGAGCUGUCUUGGGGACCCAAAAAGGGGAAGAACUUGAUAGAAGUCCCUUCAGAUGAAUCUGAUGACAAAAAAGAAGUGGCAAACAGUACAUCGCAGUCUUCUUCAGCUUCAGACUGCAUUGAACGGCUCAUGCGCACAGACGUGGAAUCUCCGAAGAAGGAGGUGUUCGAUUUGGCCUGCGCCAUCCUACAAAUCGAACAGGCAAUCGAGCAUCGAUUCUUGAAGAAGCCUUUCGGAGUGGCCGAUUGUAAGGAGAAAGAAAAAGAAAAGGCAGAAACUGAGGGCUACAAGUUGAGGGAACGUUGGGAGCUAUCUCUUAUGGCUUCUUGUAGUAUUUCUCAGUUAUUCGUUCAUAUUUAUACUUUAGAUUACCAUAUUGCUUGGUCCAGAUCGGCGUUGAAGGCUUCGUGUCGUAUUUGCCGUCGAUCCUCUAAUCCCGAAUCAAUGCUGCUUUGCGAUAUGUGCAACAAGGGCCACCAUCUCCACUGCCUCAAACCUCCUCUCAAGAAAGUACCUGAAGGCGACUGGUACUGCCCAUCCUGCUGUCCGAAGCCAUCUCCUGUCAAGAGAUCCAGGAAAGAGAAAAUGGAUGCUGACGAGAGUGAUUUAGAUGAUUGCAAGACACUGGGCAAUUGCAAGGCGUGCAAGAGCGAGGGUUGGCUGGUGACUUGCAGCAGCUGUGAGUGUGGAUGGCACUUGGAGUGCAUCAAUCCGCCCCUCAGGAAGCAACCGCGAUCCAAGUGGAACUGUCAUGGAUGUCGGAGACAAUCCAAAUCAGAUGAGCACCUGAGUGGUGGAGGGGAGGUGGAGCGCAGCAGCCGGCGGCGAUGCGCCAAGGCGGCCUCUGCCAAAAUAUCCAACUUCGCCAAACAGCUGCGCGCGCAUGCUUGGGACGAGUCUGGAUCGGGAGCAGUGAACGGCGAUGACGCUGAGAGAGAGGAGGGAUCGCGGCGUCGGUCGCGGCGGUCUGUGGAGGCGGCUGGCUCGGGGGCGGACAUGAAUGGCUGCUCUGUGCUGCGCAGUGAUCUGCCCCUCGACAACGCCGCCCUCCAGGAGAUGCUGGAUGCGCUCAUGCAUCACAAGGACGCGUGGCCCUUCCUCAGGCCCGUCACCAAAGCUGAAGUACCUGAUUAUCGCAACAUUAUCAAAAAGCCAAUGGAUUUCGGAACAAUAAAACACAAGCUGAACAUGUUGGAGUACAGUAAAAACAGUCAGGUGAUAGCCGACGCUUUACUAGUUUUCGAUAACUGCUACACCUACAACCAGCCCGAUUCCGAAGUUUACAAGACCGGUGAACGACUGCAAAAAAUGUUCGAAAAACUGUGCAGCGAAAGAAAAAUGAACAUCGAUGUUGAUUAUGAGGUCAAACCUCCUAAUCAAAAAAAGCCGAAGCUCAUGUAGACUCGACAACAAAUUAACCGAACAAAAAUUGUCCUCAUGUAUGAAUGAGUAUUACGUGCCUCAUCCUAUUACAAUAACAAUUAUUGUAAUUAGUGUCUGUUGGCUCUUAACACCAUGAACAGUUUUAUGUGUUUUAUGUCUGACAUUGUAAAUUAUUGUCAAACAAUAUUUGCUACGCUGUGCGACAGCAAUUUGUGAAAUUAUUUUUAAGUCGUGUGUGUAAAAAAGGGUCUUCUAGGGAGUAUCACCUUUUGAAAUUUAUACAAAGUAUGUUUUUCAUUAGAUAUCAUCAUGAUUGAAAAUUGCCAAACUUAACUCUUCGGGAACUCAUGGGAUUUUUCUCACUAAAGACCUUAAUUGUAAAUGUUCUAUGAAGUUUCAUCUCUAUACUUCCAACAUAUUUCAUUUGAUAUUGAAGCUUUUCUCUUUGGAGACUGUACAGGUAUUAUCCCUGAGUAUACUUGAUUGAAAUUCAUUUUUAUUUCUUUGGGAACUAAUAGGACUUUUCUCACUUAAGACCUUAAUUAUUGUAAAUGUUCUAUGAAGUUUCAUCUCUAUACUUUCAACAUUUAUUUCAUUAGAUAUUGAAGUUUUUCUCUGCGGAUACUGUACAGGUAUUAUCCCUGAGUAUACUUGAUUGAAAUUCAUUUUUAUUUCCAUAAAUAUUUCGUGCUAAUAA
rnacentral:misc_RNA from 1 species